rnacentral:rRNA from 1 species
AUUGAACGCUGGCGGCAGGCCUAACACAUGCAAGUCGAGCGGAUGAAGGGAGCUUGCUCCUGGAUUCAGCGGCGGACGGGUGAGUAAUGCCUAGGAAUCUGCCUGGUAGUGGGGGAUAACGUCCGGAAACGGGCGCUAAUACCGCAUACGUCCUGAGGGAGAAAGUGGGGGAUCUUCGGACCUCACGCUAUUAGAUGAGCCUAGGUCGGAUUAGCUAGUUGGUGGGGUAAAGGCCUACCAAGGCGACGAUCCGUAACUGGUCUGAGAGGAUGAUCAGUCACACUGGAACUGAGACACGGUCCAGACUCCUACGGGAGGCAGCAGUGGGGAAUAUUGGACAAUGGGCGAAAGCCUGAUCCAGCCAUGCCGCGUGUGUGAAGAAGGUCUUCGGAUUGUAAAGCACUUUAAGUUGGGAGGAAGGGCAGUAAGUUAAUACCUUGCUGUUUUGACGUUACCAACAGAAUAAGCACCGUCUAACUUCGUG